UACGUCCUGAUUUUCCCAAUUGCUCACAGUUUGACUUCCCUUCUUCGUCCACCUCUGGUCUCCAAAUCAGGUUUCCUCCGCCUCCAAGAAUCAACCAAUAUCAGAUCCCCGCUGUUUAUUGUCGCCUACGGCUGGAACCUACUAAUGAAACAUUAGAGUAUUAGACAUGAGGAGGGCCAGGCACCUUCAUUUAGAUCAGCAGCGCGAGAUUGGCAGCGCAGAUUGGAGCUUAUGGUCGGCGGUCUGCCGACAGUCUACUUGUAAGAAGAAUAGAGGCCUGGUGCUUGCUGCUUCUGGAAUCGCCAAGGACGCCGCCAUGAAUUGGUCGUUGCAUUGAAGUGUAAAAGUAUGCCCAAAAAAUAUCAUAGAAUAACUUGGUCAUAUCCAAUAAGAUUUUUGACAGAAAGGGAGAGAUAAAUAGCAGGUCAUCAGAUGCAUAUGCGCAACAUACCCAUUGGGAACCAACUGAAUCAUUGCAGUCUGAGCUUAUAACUCCUCAUGGCAAAUGGAUCAGACCUGCUUGGACCCUUGCGCUUGCAUGGGUAUUAUGACCAACACAUGUCUCCUCCAAUGGUACUUCCUUGACUCACUUGCGAGCAGUCGAGCACCUCAUCUGACUCUUUCAGACUUCAGGGAGCAGAGACCUAGAUAUAAUCUGGUUGUGGCAAAUCAAUUACACUUGCAUGGAAUGAUUGCCUUGGAGGACUCUUUCAGACUUUAGAGAGCAUAGUCCUAGAAAUAAUAUGGUAUUGGCAAGGUGCCUCUCCACAUCAUCGAAUUUUCUUGCCAGGAUGCCUCUCCACAUCAUUGCAUUAUCUUGCCAGACGCCAACGUCCUGGCCGGUGGAAGAUUGAAGCUUCUCUCCAAAUCGCCAUAACUAAAGUAUAACACUACGUCCGGCCGCGACCAGCAGAAGUUUUGGUGAUUGUUGCGCGGUUUUGCCAUUGCUGGGAUAAGAUGAUUGGCCAAUAAACAGAGAUACCCAAUCAAUCUGGAAGAUGUGACGCAGUGUGGUGCGCCUCCAUGCAAGAUUGCAGAUCCUCGUCAAAAUUAAAGUUGGAGCAUAGGUACGUCCGGCCGUGCCCGGCUGAACUUUGUGAGGUUCCAAAAGAGUUGCCAUUGCCCUGGAUCGACGGCGGCAGCCUGAGCAAUCUGAAGAAGUGACCAUGAAGCCAAUCACCGACACUAAUCUUGUAGGUACUGUAUGUAUGUAGAUUUAAUCUUCAAUCGAUCUCAUAUCUGCCUUCUUACCUCCUUGUACCGGGAUGCAUGCAUCAUACAAGUUUAAAGCAUGAAUCUAUUGAUAUGGAUGCACGAUGUAGAGUCAGCACACUUGGCCGGCCGGCCGGGUAUUGAGAAGAACUCAAAGGCGGUGAUGAUCGCCUGAGUGAGGACAUGCAAGGAGUCUACAUCCAUGCGUUUCUUUUCUGAGAACCCAACAACACAGGCGGCGGCGGCGUGCAGGAGGGCAUGUGAGGGGAGUUAGCAUUAGUUGUUCUUUUUUAGGUUUCCACGGUGGAGUUUAAUAACUUCUAUUCUAAAGGGGUACGUAAAAAUUAAUCUGGGGCAUAGGUGGGUAAUUCUUUGGGAUUCUAAUGUCAAUUGACUAUUAUAGAGAUCCAUUGGUUCUAAUUGCCUAGCUAAUUUUAAUAGAUGGCCAGAUUUGUCUGAUUAUUGUGGGAUUUUCUAGCUAAUUCUCUAAUUUCUAGUGAGCCCAUAAUCUACUUUUAAUAUAUAAUAGAUUAUGAUGUUGACACUUCGUCUCUUGAUAAUACUUGACAUACACUUUCUGCGCCAAGCUGAAAGGCGUUAAAGAAAAGCGCUUAUGGGAGACAACCCAUGUUUUUACUACAGUACCUUUAUUUUAUAUUUGAGUCUUGGAAGUUGUUACUACUGUAGCAACCUCUCCUUAUCUUAGUUUUGUGCAUUGUUGUGCCAAGUAAAGUCGUUGAUAGUAAGGUUUAUACUAGAUUUGGAUUACUGCGCAGAAACAGAUUUCUUUGCUGUCACGAAUCUGGGACUAAUUCUCUGUAGGUAACUCAGAAAAUUAUGCCAAUUUACGUGAGUGAUCCUCAGAUAUGUACGCAACUUUCAUUAAAUUUGAGCAUUUUCAUUUGAGCAAGUCUGGUGCCUCAAUAAAAUUCGUCUUUACGAACUGUUCUGUUUUGACAGAUUCUGCCUUUUAUUUUGCAUUGCCUGUUUUGCUAUGCUUGAUGGAUUUUUCGAUUCCAUUGACUUUCAGUAGCUUUGUGCAAUGUCCAGAAGUGUUAAGAAUGAUUAUGUCACCUCUGAACAUGUAAAUUUUGAUUGUGCACUAACCCUCUAAUGAGUUGUUUUGAGUUUGGUGUGGAGGAAGUUUUCAAGGAUCAAGAGAGGGAGAUGAUACAAUAUGAUCAAGGAGAGUGAAAGCUCUAAGCUUGGGGAUGCCCCGGUGGUUCACCCCUGCAUAUAUCAAGAAGACUCAAGCGUCUAAGCUUGGGGAUGCCCAAGGCAUCCCCUUCUUCAUCGACAACAUUAUCAGGUUCCUCUAGUGAAACUAUAUUUUUAUUCCAUCACAUCUUAUGCACUUUGCUUGGAGCGUCGGUUUGUUUUUGUUUUUGUUUUGUUUGAAUAAAAUGGAUCCUAGCAUUCGUUGUGUGGGAGAGAGACACGCUCCGCUGUUGCAUAUGGACAAAUAUGUCCUUAGGCUUUACUCAUAAUAUUCAUGGCGAAGGUUGAAUCUUCUUCGUUAAAUUGUUAUAUGGUUGGAAACGGAAAAUGAUACAUGUAGUAAUUGCUAAAAUGUCUUGGAUAAUGUGAUACUUGGCAAUUGUUGUGCUCAUGUUUAAGCUCUUGCAUCAUAUACUUUGCACCUAUUAAUGAAGAAAUACAUAGAGCUUGCUAAAAUUUGGUUUGCAUAAUUGGUCUCUCUAAGGUCUAGAUAAUUUCUAGUAUUGAGUUUGAACAACAAGGAAGACGGUGUAGAGUCUUAUGAUGUUUACAAUAUGUCUUUUAUGUGAGUUUUGCUGCACCGGUUCAUCCUUGUGUUUGUUUCAAAUAAUCUUGCUAGCCUGAACCUUGUAUCGAGAGGGAAUACUUCUCAUGCAUCCAAAAUCCUUGAGCCAACCACUAUGCCAUUUGUGUCCACCAUACCUACCUACUACAUGGUAUUUCUCCGCCAUUCCAAAGUAAAUUGCUUGAGUGCUACCUUUAAAAUUUCCAUUCUUCACCUUUGCAAUAUAUAGCUCAUGGGACAAAUAGCCUAAAAACUAUUGUGGUAUUGAAUAUGUACUUAUGCACUUUAUCUCUUAUUAAGUUGCUUGUUGUGCGAUAACCAUGUUCCUGGGGACGCCAUCAACUACUCUUUGUUGAAUAUCAUGUGAGUUGCUAUGCAUGUUCGUCUUGUCUGAAGUAAGGGAGAUUUACCACUAAAAUGGUUAGAGCAUGCAUAAUGUUAGAGAAGAACAUUGGGCCGCUAACUAAAGCCAUGAUCCAUGGUGGAAGUUUCAGUUUUGGACAAACAUCCUCAAUCUCAUAUGAGAAAAUUAAUUGUUGCUACAUGCUUAUGCAUAAAAUAGGAGUCCAUUAUCUGUUGUCUAUGUUGUCCCGGUAUGGAUGUCUAAGUUGAGAAUAAUCAAUAGCGAGAAAUCCAAUGCGAGCUUUCUCCUUAGACCUUUGUACAGGCGGCAUAGAGGUACCCCUUUGUGACACUUGGUUAAAACAUAUGCAUUGCGAUGAUAAUCCAGGUAAUCCGAGCUAAUUAGGACAAGGUGCAGGCACUAUUAGUAUACUAUGCAUGAGGCUUGUCACUUGUAAGAUAUAAUUUACAUAACACAUAUGCUUUAUUACUACCGUUGACAAAAUUGUUUCUUGUUUUCAAAACCAAAGCUCUAGCACAAAUAUAGCAAUCGAUGCUUUCCUCUUUGAAGGACCUUUCUUUUACUUUUAUGUUGAGUCAGUUCACCUAUUUCUCUCCACCUCAAGAAACAAACACUUGUGUGAACUAUGCAUUGAUUCCUACAUACUUGCAUAUUGCACUUAUUAUAUUACUUUAUGUUGACAAUUAUCCAUGAGAUAUACAUGUUACAAGUUGAAAGCAACCGCUGAAACUUAAUCUUCCUUUAUGUUGCUUCAAUACCUUUACUUUGAAUUAUUGCUUUAUGAGUUAACUCUUAUGCAAGACUUAUUGAUGCUUGUCUUGAAGUACUAUUCAUGAAAAGUCUUUGCUUUAUGAUUCAUUUGUUUACUCAUGUCAUUUACAUUGUUUUGACCGCUGCAUUCAUUACAUAUACUUACAAUAGUAUGUUCAAGGUUAUGAUGGCAUGUCACUCCAGAAAUUAUCUUUGUUAACGUUUACCUGCUCGGGACGAGCAGAAACUAAGCUUGGGGAUGCUGAUACGUCUCCGACGUAUCGAUAAUUUCUUAUGUUCCAUGCCACAUUAUUGAUGAUAUCUACAUGUUUUACGCGUACUUUAUGUCAUAUUUAUGCAUUUUCCGGCACUAACCUACUAACGAGAUGCCGAAGAGCCAGUUGCUGUUUUCUGCUGUUUUUGGUUUCAGAAAUCCUAGUAAGGAAAUAUUCUCGGAAUUGGACGAAAUCAACGCCCAGGGGCCUAUUUUCACACGAAGCUUCCAGAAGACCGAAGGGAAGACGAAGUGGGGCCACGGGGCGCCGCCACACUAGGGCGGCGCGGCCCAAGGGGGGCCCGCGCGGCCCUAGCGUGUGGGGCCCCCUGACCUGCCCUUCCGCCUACAUAUAGUCUUCGUCGCGAAACCCCCAGUACCGAGAGCCACGAUACGGAAAACCUUCCAGAGACGCCGCCGCCGCCAAUCCCAUCUCGGGGGAUUCAGGAGAUCGCCUCCGGCACCCUGCCGGAGAGGGGAUUCAUCUCCCGGAGGACUCUACACCACCAUGGUCGCCUCCGGAGUGAUGAGUGAGUAGUUCACCCCUGGACUAUGGGUCCAUAGCAGUAGCUAGAUGGUUUUCUUCUCCUCAUUAUGCUUCAUUGUCGGGUCUUGUGAGCUGCCUAACAUGAUCAAGAUCAUCUAUCUGUAAUGCUAUAUGUUGUGUUUGUUGGGAUCCGAUGGAU